UCAGGUUUCCAUGGAGAUGAGUACUCUCAGAAGGAAGCGUAUUGAGUUGCUCCAAGGGAUACAAGGUGGUGUUGAGAGCCUUUCCCUGCCCAGAGUGAAGAGCUGUGAAGAGGAGAUGCCUUUAGAGAUGCCCUCCGCCCUGCUGUCGCCUCUAACAGAACCCCCUGUCGCCAGUCCUAACCAGGUUCCCCUCUACCUCCCCCCUGCUCCACGCCCCCCUCCCUGUCCCCUAGCCACCAGACCCACCCCCAGCCUAUCACACAGUCAGUAGUUAUCAAGCAGGAGCCCCUGUCCCCUGGCAGGGUGACCACUAAGACGGAGGAUGCGGAGAGCGCAGUGACCGUUCACCACGGCUCUCACAGCACCACGUCAGAGCCCACGCCCAUCGCUACAGCCCCUCACGCAGAUUGUGCCGCCAGCUGCCAACCGGUCCGAGGAGGAGGUCUGAGCGUCACAGAGUCCACAGAGAGCUCUCU